AAGGUCUUCAAGAGCUAUAAUAUGGAAUAAACUUUGCAAAAAUUCUGAUGUCAAGAGGUUUCCACUUCAGUUAAUAAAAUUAAAAGGAUCAAAAGGGGCUCUGAGAAAUCUACAAACCAGACUGGAAAACAUGUUUCUACUCUGGAUGACACACACUCAAUGGAAGCUUCAUGACUAAGAAACAUGUUCUCAACAGAAAAAAAGACAUCUGCUUAGUUUGGAUUCGUUUGGGAAUUUCUCCUUGGUACGGCUAUAGGUAACUUCAAGGUAACCUCAAGGCAACAGAAAGGGAUCUACUCAAGUUGUUGGCUGAAGACUGGAUAGUCAAGGAAGGCCUCAGCUGGCAGUCUGGAGAUUGGCCAGAGGGAAAGCAACAACUACAACUCGUGUGACCUAUGUUAACCAGGAGAUACACACACCUUCUGCUAAAACAUAUAAACGUCAUGUCACAGCCCUCCACAGAAAAGCAGAAUGGACAGAAUAGCAACAUUCACACAGAAAGCAUGAGACGUACCUUUAGCCACCAAUAAAUUAUCAAGAAAAAAUUUGAAGCUGCUGACAUUGAAGAUUACCAGAUUCUCC
rnacentral:lncRNA from 1 species